rnacentral:rRNA from 1 species
AACGAACGCUGGCGGCAGGCCUAACACAUGCAAGUCGAGCGAGGACUUCGGUCCUAGCGGCGGACGGGUGAGUAACGCGUGGGAACGUGCCCUUUGCUUCGGAAUAGCCCUGGGAAACUGGGAGUAAUACCGGAUGAGCCCUUUGGGGGAAAGAUUUAUCGGCGAAGGAUCGGCCCGCGUUGGAUUAGGUAGUUGGUGGGGUAAUGGCCUACCAAGCCGACGAUCCAUAGCUGGUUUGAGAGGAUGAUCAGCCACACUGGGACUGAGACACGGCCAGACUCCUACGGGAGGCAGCAGUGGGGAAUCUUAGACAAUGGGGGAAACCCUGAUCUAGCCAUGCCGCGUGAGCGAUGAAGGCCUUAGGGUUGUAAAGCUCUUUCAGCUGGGAAGAUAAUGACGGUACCAGCAGAAGAAGCCCCGGCUAACUCCGUG